CAUUUCACUGGAGUAUUUAACCUAACCACGUCUUAGAGGACAGACGCAUGGUCGUACUGCUUAGAUUUACAAGUAAGUAAAACGAUUUUAUAAUGAUUUAGAAUGAUAAAUGUCUUGUAAUAUUUAUAAAAUAAAUAUAACGAGUUUGAGAAAAUGUCUAACGAAGAAGAUAAUAUAAAACAUAAGACGCAUAGAGAACGUAAUGCUGGUCGUAAAGCGGAAAAGAAAAAAGCGAAAAAUCAACAUGUUCAAGAAUUGACGGAUAAACAGAAAAAUCCAAAAGCAUUUACGUUUAAUUCAGCUAUUAAAGCGGAACGACGAUUUAGACGUAAGCAGGAUAUUGAAACUAAAAAGCAACAUAUUCCUGUAGUAGAUAGAACGCCUUUGGAGCCACCGCCAAUAUUGGUCGCAAUUGUAGGACCACCUAAAGUUGGAAAAUCCUUACUUAUACAAUGUUUAAUUAAAAGUUAUGUUAAACAACCAUUAACUAAUAUAAUCGGUCCUGUUACCGUAGUAUCCGGCAAGAAAAGAAGGAUUACAUUUAUGGAAUGUAAUAAUGACAUAAGUUGUAUGAUAGAUAUUGCAAAAGUAGCUGAUUUGGUAUUAUUAUUAGUGGAUGCAUCUUUUGGCUUUGAAAUGGAGGUCUUUGAAUUUCUCAAUAUAUGUCAAGUUCAUGGUAUGCCAAGAAUUAUGGGAGUAUUAACUCAUUUAGAUUUAUUUAAAAAUGCAAGACAAUUGAGAAAAACAAAGAAAAUAUUGAAACAUAGAUUUUGGACUGAAGUAUAUGCUGGUGCAAAAUUAUUUUAUCUUUCUGGAUUAAUUCACGAUGAAUAUCUUCGCACGGAAAUAAAAAAUCUGUCAAGAUUUAUAUCGGUUAUGAAAUUUAGACCAUUGACUUGGCGUACCACCCAUCCUUAUAUACUUGCAGAUAGGAUAGAAGAUUUAACAUCACCUGAAUUGAUAAGGAAAAAUGCCAAAGUUGAUAGAACAAUAUGUUUAUAUGGGUAUGUUAGAGGAGUUCCUUUGAAUAAAGAAUCUUCCAUUCAUAUGCCUGGCUGUGGAGAUCUUAGAAUUAAAGAUGUAAGUUAUUUACCUGAUCCGUGCCCUCUUCCUGAACAAUUAAAAAAACGUGCAUUAAUAGAAAAAGAAAGAUUAAUAUAUGCACCCUUUUCUGGGAUCGGUGGAAUUGUUUAUGAUAAAGAUGCAGUUUAUGUAGAAUUAGCAGGUAGUCAUUCUCAUAAAGAGGAAGAUACAGGUUUAACUGGGGCAUUGAUGGAUACUCAAGAAACAUUAGAUCAAAAGUUACAACAUAGCGAAUUACAAUUAUUUAGUGAUACUGUUCCAAUAAAAUCUAAGGAUAUUAAUGAAGAUUUUAAUUCUCAUUACAUUGGAGAAAAUGUAAUUGAAGAUGGAAGAAUAAGAAGGAAGGUUAUUUUUUCUGAUUCCAAAGAAACAACAACAGCAGCAACUUCUGAUGAGGAUGAUUCUGAUGGUAAUGAAGAAGAGGAUAAUAAUAUUGAAGAAUUCAAUAAUGAAGAUGAUGGUGGUGAUGAUGAUGAUGAUGAUGAUGAUGAUGAUGAUGAUGAUGAUGAUGAUGAUAUAGAAGAGGAUACAAGUAGAAGAGGUAUUAAAAGAAAGAAUCAGGAUUUACAAUUGUUAACCUCUAAAGAGAAAAAGAAAAAAAUUCAUUCUAUUAAUUCUAAUAAAGAAGAUAGUGAUGUAGAUGAUGAUUUUAAAGAUGAUAGUAAUAAGAAAGUUAAAGAUAAAGCAGAAAUAGAAGUCUAUCAUUCUUUAAGUAAAGAAUCUGAUAUACAAGUUAAGAAUAAAAUUACAGAAGUUCUUAAUAUUUUGGAGGCAAGUACAAGCAAUAGGAAUCUGGAUGAAAGUGAUAAUGAAAGUUUUGAUGAGCUUAGUGAUGAUGAUUCCCGUGGUGGUUUAGAAAUAGAUAAUUCUGAUGAUAAUAAUGAUUAUGAAGAAGAGUUGAGAAAAAAAGAUCACAGUAUGAAUGAAAGUGAGAAUGAAAGUGAGAAAGAAAUUGCAGAUGAAUUUAAAUGGAAGACCAAUUUAAUGGACAAAGCCAGAAAAGCAUUUAUAAAUCGUCGAGAAAGUAAUAAAAAUUUAAUGAAAAUUGUUUAUGGAGUAUUUGAUAAAGGCAUACAGAAUAAUGAUAAGAAAGUUAAAGAACAAGAAGAUGAAAAUUAUAAUGAAUCAGUUGGUGAAAUAUUUAAAAUCGUACAAGAAAAACAAAAAGAAAAAUUACAAGAACGUGAAUUACAAAAUUUGGAUGAAUGCAUAUUCUUUUCAAAAGAACCUUCACGUGAUUGGUUGGAUGAGGAGAAUAAAGUGUUGUUGCUUAAUUGUUUUGUUACUGGUAAGUGGAAAGAAUCUGAAGACGCAGAGGAACUUUUAAAAUUAGAUGAUAUAAAUGAAGAUGAAGUGUAUGGAGAUUUUGAGGAUUUAGAAACUGGGGAAAAACAUAAAGCAGAUGAUUCGCAACAAUCAGAAAAUAAUGAAAUGGAUGAAAAGAAAAAGCUUCUUGAGAAGAAAAAGAAGUUAAAAGAACAAUUUGAUGCCGAGUACGAUAAUGGAGAAUCAAAAUCGUAUUACGACGAAUUAAAGCAAGAGGUAGAUAAACAAGCAGAAUUAAACAAAUCAGAAUUUGAAGGAAUAGAUGAUGAUGUUAGAGUUCAAUUAGAAGGUUAUCGUCCAGGAAUGUAUGUGCGUGUAGAGAUACAAACUGUACCUUGUGAAAUAAUUACAAAUUUAGAUCCAUCGUAUCCACUCAUUAUUGGAGGUUUAUUACAUGGAGAAGAGAAUAUAGGUUAUGUACAAACGCGAAUUAAAAAGCAUCGAUGGUAUUCGAGAAUUUUAAAAAGUAAAGAUCCAUUGAUACUUUCUGUAGGUUGGAGAAGAUUUCAAACAUUACCGAUUUAUUCUAAAUUAGAAGAUAAUCUACGUAGUAGAAUGUUAAAAUAUACCCCUGAACAUGUUGCUUGUAUGGCACAUUUUUGGGGCCCUAUCACGCCGCAAGGUACUGGAGUUCUUGCAAUUCAGGAUAUUGCUAGUAGAGAACCAGGUUUUAGAAUAGCAGCAACUGGUUCGAUUGUAGAAAUGGAUAAAAGUACUCAAAUCAUGAAAAAAUUAAAACUGACUGGUGUACCAAUGAAAAUUUACAAAAAAACGGCCUUUAUUAAGGAUAUGUUUAACAGUACAUUAGAAGUAGCUAAAUUUGAGGGUGCAAAGAUAAAAACAGUUUCUGGUAUUCGUGGUCAAAUAAAAAAAGCAGUUUCGAAACCGGAAGGUUGUUUUCGUGCUUCAUUUGAGGAUAAAAUUUUAUUGAGUGAUAUAGUUUUUUGUCGUACUUGGUAUAGAGUCGAGGUACCAAAAUUCUAUAAUCCUGUAACAUCACUUUUGUUACCUCCUGCAGAAAAAAAUCAAUGGCGUGGAAUGAAAACAACUGGUCAAUUAAAAAGAGAAAAGAAUAUACGUGCAAAUGUCAACACUGAUUCACUUUAUAUUCCCAUUGAAAGAACCUUGAAGGUAUUUAAACCAUUGAUUAUACCACGUAAUUUACAAAAGGAACUACCUUAUAAAGACAAACCUAAACUUGAACCUAACCCUCGUACACGGAAAACUAAAUUUGAAGAACGUAGAGUAGCUGUUGUACGAGAUGCCAAAGAAGAAAAUGUAGCGCGUCUAAUGAAAAUGAUUAGAACGACGUAUGCUCAUAAGCAAAAACAACUUAGAAAAGCUACGGUAGACAGGGUUAGAGCCCUUAAAGCACGAGUUACAGCGGAAGAAACAAAAAAAUUGAAAAAACAGAAAGAAUAUAAAAAGCAGAUUUUUAGAGACCUUAGUAAAUUAGAAAAGAAAAAUAAAAAGAUAUAAUUUCUAAAUGGAAGAUUUACACGCACAUAGUAAAUUAAAUGUAAUUAAUUAUAUAAACUAGUUCUUUUUUUGUUUUUUUUUUUGUUUUUUAAUUAGUUAUUCUCUAUGUCAAUUAUAUAUUAUAUUGUCAAUUUAUUGUAAUAAUUUUACGAUGUUUAGUAUUUCAUUCACCUAAGCUAUCCGUGUUGAAUAUUGUUUUAUCCUUUUCUGCAACAAUUGUUACCAUUAUUAAUCGAAAUAUUUAUUUUAUUAUAUUAAUAUUAAAGUAAAAUAUGUAUGUAUAUAAAAGUAUAUGAUGUUGCAUACGUCAAGGUUAGUUAAUCAAUUGAACGUUUAAAUUUGUAUAAAGAAUUAUCAUUGAUAAUUACAGAUGCAUAGAAAAAGAAUAAUAAAUGAACUUACGCUUGAUAAUCGACUUCAGUAGUUUACAAGGCUACAAUGAAUAAACAUGGCGACCGAGGUAUAUGAUUUUACGUCGAGUUUCCGAUCUGAUUUGUACAACUUGUAGAUGGCGCUGCAUGAAAUUCAAUUUACGAAACGCUGGUACGUUAUGCCGCUUUGAUUUUUUAUUGUUGUGAUAUAAUUAGGAAUAUUUUGUGAAAGAACAAACAAUUUAAUCCUUAAUCUGUAAGAAAAUGGAGCUUACGGAUGAGAAUUUGGUAACAUUAAGCGAAUAUUUAAAACAUACAUUAAGUC